CCCGAGUACCCGAGGCGGAAGGUGUCCGGCAUCAGUGCUCAGAAAGUUGUUCCACCUUCCACCAAGAUGCUGGAUGAGGAGGACACUGACAAAGACGGGAUGAGUUUGGAGGUCGACACUCCAGUGACGAACCAUCGGGGUGACGACGACGAUGACGAAGAAGAUCUCCCCGAGAUAGUGCUGGAUGACGUGCCUGCGGUGAGGGUGGCGGGACGGCCUCCAUUCGCUCCGCGGGUGGCCUUCAUGGUGAACAAAACACAUGACCCCGAGUACCCGAGGCGGAAGGUGUCCGGCAUCAGUGCUCAGAAAGUUGUUCCACCUUCCACCAAGAUGCUGGAUGAGGAGGACACUGACAAAGACGGGAUGAGUUUGGAGGUCGACACUCCAGUGACGAACCAUCGGGGUGACGACGACGAUGACGAAGAAGAUCUCCCCGAGAUAGUGCUGGAUGACGUGCCUGCGGUGAGGGUGGCGGGACGGCCUCCAUUCGCUCCGCGGGUAAGUUGGGUUUUUAGUCUGAGCUCGCAGUGUUGCUCUAUUUCCCCUCCGUGGACAUUAAGUUAUGACAGCCUGAGCCUGCACGUUCCAGACCAUGUGGACGGUUCCGAGGGUUGGGACUCCAUGUCAGGCGCGUCUGUUGCCAACUCCCGAUGCCUGCUUCCGCAGGGCAAUGCGAUAACAACACCUGUCCCAGCCUGCAGAGGACAGAGCUCCUUCUCCAGAAGCAUCUUUUCCUCGAGGGAAAGAGUUCUGUCAUCUCCAACUGACAUGGCCUUGGACAUCCCGUCGUCUAGGACAAGUUCUUGCCUUUGUCCCCGAGGAGGGUUUGCUCUGCCUUUGCUGGGUUCUCUGGACUCCACCGCUGUUGUGCAUCGGGGUUUCUGCUGUCACCAAGUGAAGGAAAGACCUGUGCAAAUAGGUGGCCUUGUGGUCUGA
rnacentral:lncRNA from 9 species